rnacentral:tRNA from 1 species
AUUGUUAUAGUUUAAAUAAAACAUUUCAUUUUCAGUGAAAAAAUGGGAAGUACCCUAAGAAUA